rnacentral:rRNA from 1 species
CAGCAGCCGCCGCGGGAAUACGAAGGGGGCUAGCGUUGCUCGGAAUUACUGGGCGUAAAGGGAGCGUAGGCGGACAUUUAAGUCAGGGGUGAAAUCCCAGAGCUCAACUCUGGAACUGCCUUUGAUACUGGGUGUCUUGAGUGUGAUAGAGGUAUGUGGAACUCCGAGUGUAGAGGUGAAAUUCGUAGAUAUUCGGAAGAACACCAGUGGCGAAGGCGACAUACUGGAUCAUUACUGACGCUGAGGCUCGAAAGCGUGGGGAGCAAACAGGAUUAGAUACCCCAGUAGUCCCUGACUCUUAUAC